rnacentral:misc_RNA from 1 species
AUACAUCAUACAGUUAGUUAUUUUCUAACCAUCUAUCAAAAUGAAGAAUUGGAUAAUUUUCAUAUUUAUAUUUAUAUUGAUACAAUUAAGGGUACACGCAUUGGAUCUCUUUGCAAAUCCAAUUGCCAUUUCCAGAAUUAUGAAAGAGGAAAAAGUGUUUCUCCAAUCCCUCUAUGAUAUAUCGCAGGACAAUCCCAUCUAUCUUAACUUAUUGAAUAAGUGUAUUUAAACAAGAAUACACUCGAGAGCUUGAUUGGAACUCAGAGUCAAGAGAAAAACGAAGAAGAAGCUUUUGGAAUGGAGGGAUUAGUUGCUAAUCCACUCCAUGUAUUUUCCCUCUUUUAUCGAAUUUUGAUACUUUUACCCAGUAUUUCAAAAGAGCUGAAUGAGAUCAAAAAAGUGGGUUCCUCUCUAAAUUGUUUAACUGCCCAUUAUUCAUUCUUUAUCCAAAUAAAAAUGCCCAUGUAUUCUGUGAUAUGAUAAUUAUUUUGUUUUUAUCUAUUCAAGGAGCCUGGUCUUCCUCAAGUAACAAAGGGUUUCCUCGAUUCCCCCAAAUCAAGGAUAUAUCACGAGAAAAUUUGGUUGGAGUUGCGUUUGCAUUGAUAAGGAUUCAAUGGGUUUAUGAACUAGAUCCCUAUGAUAUGGCAAUGGGCAGACUCGGAGCUCGGCAGACAAAUGCAAGGCUUUCAGCUGAAGAACUCUAUGAAAUUGUUAAAAUCUUGUAUUACGGAGUAGAUAGAACAAAUAGUGAUCAUGGCGUUGAGUAUGCUUUGGCAAUAACAUGGAUGGAAAGUACUUUAAGACUAAGCGUCGAAAAUGAUUCGAAAGAUGCAUUCAUUGAGGAAAUUAGGACUCUUCUGUUCGAGAUUCAGGACGAGCAUGAUGAAAGCUUUCAAGAACAAUGGGAAGGUCAAGAUGAGGAGCUUAUAAAUCCAAAUGAGGAAUUUUUUGUUCAAAAGUUUAAUGGAAAUAGGAACAUGACUUCCAAAGAAAUGAAGAAAUUGGAAAAAGAACACUUUAAUAACUUUGCAAAUCAUAGUUUUCUUUCGUCCAGAGAUUUUUUUCGAUAUGCCGUGGUGAAGAGCCAAAGUGGAUCAAACAAACAUCCGUUUCUCGUUCGCAACGAUGCUACGUUAGGAACUUUUCCAGCCCAUUUUUACUGUUACAACCAGCCAAAAUUGAGGUUCUCAAUGAGAGUCCAACAUUAGUUCAAAUUCACGAUGUUAUUCCCUUCUCUUGGAUUGAUAAGAUUAAGGAGUUGAGCAUGAACAAAAUUGGAUUAUAUUCUCCAGGCGGAGUAUUUCUUCCUCAUAUGGAUACAUUGAAAACGCAGGAAAAUUUCAUCAACUCCAAAAAGGAUUACAUCGGUAACAGAAUAGCCACAUUGAUGCUUUAU